CUGUGGCGACCUUGUAUUUCUUGAGAGGACAGGAGCAAAAUCCUGUGUUCAAUGAACCAGUAAGCUAGACUGGAAAAUUUCUGUGGGUAGGCAUAGUGCGCAUGUGCAUGAGUGGCCAAUGAACAAUACCCGCCCCCCUCUCUCGGAUUUAGCCACGCCCUUCAUUCGUUACUGUGGGGAUUUUCGGAACAGAGGUUGUGGCAGUUUCAGCAUCAAAUACCUGACCUCCUCUGUCACAGGACAUCCACUGUUUAAGCACCACCACUACCUCAGGAAGUCCACUGUCUGUGUGUCAACUCCACUGUUACAGGACUUCAAGUUUCUCAGCAUCUCAACUAUCACAGGAUUUCUACUGUGCAGGAGCUCAAGUGUCUUACAACGUCCAAUGUCAUAGGACCAUCAAUGUCACAAGAACUCCUCUGUCCAAGGAACUGCACAGUCCACACAACACUAUGAUUGCAGGACAUUCACUGUGGAAACACCUCCACUAUUGCAGGGCCUCCACUGUCCAUACAUCAACUCCACUGUCGCAGAUCCCCCAUUACUGCAGACCUCCACUGUCACAGGACCUCCACUGUAGGAGCACUACAACUGUCGCAGGAUCUCCAGUGUCUUAUAACCUGCUCUAUCCCAGGACUUCCACUGUUGUAGCAUUACCAUGGUCACAGCAACUACACUGUUUCAGGACAUCAAGUGAAGCUGGACCUCCAAUGAUGCUCCAACUUCUCUGUCACAGGAUCUCUACAGUUACAGGAAUACUCCUGUAUCAGCAAUUCCAAUUGCUGGACCUCAGUUGUCACAUGACCUCCACUGUAGCCGAACCUUCAAUUUUGCAGCACCUCCACUAGAGGUAGAAUGACCUCCCCUAUCACAGUGCCUCCACUUUCAAAGGACCUUCACUGUCACAGAACCUGCACAAUUUCAGUGCCUCCGCUGUUGCAGGACCUACGUUUUCACAGGAUCUGCACUGUUGCAACAACUCUAAUUGCACUUUUACAAAGGCAUUACUGGUUAUUAGAUUUGAGGCUGAAUGGAAUGUGAUGUUACUUUCGUAAACAUAAGAAUUUGUUCUGUGCGUCUUGUGAUUAAUGGCCACUUGUGCUAGGACCAGUAACUUAUGGAAAGAUUCCAUGAGGUCAUAGCACUCUCCACCUCACCUUGUGGAAACUGGUGUUUUUAGAGUGUGAUAAACUUCAGGUGAAGGGAUGCAGUCAGCAAGACCACGCUCUAGAGUGGGAUACACAGCAGUCAUAUUGAGUCCUUGCUGGGAAGAAAAGAAAUCCAGAAGAGGGAGGAGGCUUAGGUUAGAGGAAGAAUCAUAAAAUAUUUAGAGAAUAUAAAAAGGUAAGAAUUAUGGGGAACUGGAAAACAGAGCCAGAGGAAGAAUGAGCACAGAGCAAACUGGGAUGGACAAAGCACAAAUGUACCUGGGUUGUGCCUUCUGCAUGUUCUCUGGACGAUCGCCUUGUGCCUCAUUUCUGGGAGAACACUCUCUUCUCCCCAUAUAAAGUUUCUUUCUUGAAAGAAA